UACAGAGGGGGCAAGCGUUGUCCGGAUUUACUGGGCGUACAGCGCGCGCAGGCGGCCUCGUAUGUGACCGGUGACAUCCUCGGGCUCAACCCGAGGCGGCCCGGUUAGACAGCGGAGCUGGAGGCAGGGAGAGGGAUGUGGAAUACCCGGUGGAGCGGUGAAAUGCGUAGAGAUCGGGUGGAACACCAGCGGCGAAGGCGGUCUCCUGGCCCACUCUUGACGCUGAGGCGCGAAAGCUGGGGGAGCGAACGGG
rnacentral:rRNA from 1 species